AUGCAGUCCAGGCACCGGGUGUUCGCCGAGGACCUGCUCCUGGCGCAGCUGCAGGGGGAGGACCACUUCGACAGCGUGCCGGACUCGCUGGUGCUCCUCAUCUUCAACAAGCUCGCCGACGCGCGCUCGCUCGGCCGCUGCUCCGCCGUCUCGCGCCGCUUCAACGCGCUCGUCCCGCUCGUCGACGACGCCUGCCUCCGCAUCGACCGCGUCAUCGCCGCCGCCGACGCCGACGACGCGCUCGCCCUCCCGCGCCAGCGCGGCGUCCUCUCCGGCCUCCUCAAGACCGUGCUCCUCGCCGUGCUCAAGCCCUUCGGCGGACACUGCGACGCCGGGGCCAGGCCCGCCGGCCACGCGGCCGCCAAGCACGCGCCGCACCACUCGCCCGCGCAGGUGCUCAAGAACUUCAGCAGCAUCCGCAACCUCCGCAUGGAGCUCCCAGUCUCCGACGUCGGCACCGACGACGGCGUCCUCCUCAGGUGGAAGGCCGUCUUCGGCACCACGCUCCAGAGCUGCGUCAUCCUGGGCGGGACAAGGCUGGAGCACGCCUCGCACCCGCCCUCCGCCUCCGCCUCCGCCUCCGGGGCCCCGGACGAGCACGACGCCUCGCAGGGGGACGACGACAAUGGGAGCAUACCCGAGUCCUUCUACACCAACGGCGGGCUGAAGCUGCGCGUGGUGUGGACCAUCAGCUCGCUCAUCGCUGCGGCCACCAGGCACUACCUCCUCCGCGAGAUCGUCAAGGAGCACCCCACCCUGGAGCGCGUGGAGCUGACGGACGCGCACGGCCAGGGCACGCUGUGCAUGGAGCGCCCGCAGCUCAAGGAGUUCACCGACAAGCCGCUCGCCGCCGCCGCCGCCGCCGCCAACCGCACGCAGGUGCCGGCCUGCAACAUGAAGCUCCGAUACGCGCCCAUGCUGGAGCUGUCAGACGGGACGAGGAUCCAGGGCGCGACGCUGGUGGUGAUCAAGCCCGUGGGCGAGGCCGGCGGCAUCGGCGGUGGGCGCAAGGAGCUGGACGAGUUCGUGGCCGGCGCCUUCGACGGGCCCUUCAGGGAGGCCGUGGCGAUGCUCAGCAAGCGCCGCACCUACCUGCUAGAGAUGAACGGAUUCUAA
rnacentral:rRNA from 1 species